GACGAACCGUGCAAACGUUACUCGGAUUCACUGGGCUUAAAGGGCGCGUAGGCUGUUCGUUAAGUCGUGGGUGAAAUCUUUCGGCUCAACCGGAAAAUUGCCCUCGAUACUGGCGGGCUGGAGGGAGGUAGGGGCAACGGGAACUACCAGUGGAGCGGUGAAAUGCGUUGAUAUUGGUAGGAACGCCGGUGGCGAAAGCGCGUUGCUGGACCUUUCCUGACGCUGAGGCGCGAAAGCUAGGGGAGCAAACGGG
rnacentral:rRNA from 1 species